CCCCUAGAUGUUCUGGGCCGCACGCGCGCUACACUGAACAGUUCAACAAGUCUUAACCUUGGCCGAUAGGUCUGGGUAAUCUUUGAACGCUGUUCGUGAUUGGGAUAGACCUUUGCAAUUAUGGGUCUUCAACGAGGAAUUCCUAGUAAACGCAAGUCAUCAGCUUGCAUUGAUUACGUCCCUGCCCUUUGUACACACCGCCCGUCGCACCUACCGAUCGAAGGUAAUGAUGAGCCCUCAGGAUUGUGGCCUCGUCGCGUCAGCGUCUUGGCUGCGAGAAUCUGUGCAAAUCCCUACCUUUAGAGGAAGGUGAAGUCGUANCA
rnacentral:rRNA from 1 species